rnacentral:rRNA from 1 species
GGAAAGAAAGAUUAAUACCCGAUGGCAUAGUUCUUCCGCAUGGUAGAACUAUUAAAGAAUUUCGGUCAUCGAUGGGGAUGCGUUCCAUUAGGUUGUUGGCGGGGUAACGGCCCACCAAGCCUUCGAUGGAUAGGGGUUCUGAGAGGAAGGUCCCCCACAUUGGAACUGAGACACGGUCCAAACUCCUACGGGAGGCAGCAGUGAGGAAUAUUGGUCAAUGGACGAGAGUCUGAACCAGCCAAGUAGCGUGAAGGAUGACUGCCCUAUGGGUUGUAAACUUCUUUUAUACGGGAAUAAAGUGAGGCACGUGUGCCUUUUUGUAUGUACCGUAUGAAUAAGGAUCGGCUAACUCCGUGCCAGCAGCCGCGGUAAUACGGAGGAUCCGAGCGUUAUCCGGAUUUAUUGGGUUUAAAGGGAGCGUAGGCGGACGCUUAAGUCAGUUGUGAAAGUUUGCGGCUCAACCGUAAAAUUGCAGUUGAUACUGGGUGUCUUGAGUACAGUAGAGGCAGGCGGAAUUCGUGGUGUAGCGGUGAAAUGCUUAGAUAUCACGAAGAACUCCGAUUGCGAAGGCAGCCUGCUGGACUGUAACUGACGCUGAUGCUCGAAAGUGUGGGUAUCAAACAGGAUUAGAUACCCUGGUAGUCCACACAGUAAACGAUGAAUACUCGCUGUUUGCGAUAUACAGUAAGCGGCCAAGCGAAAGCGUUAAGUAUUCCACCUGGGGA